rnacentral:rRNA from 1 species
UGUCUCAGUUCGGAUUGGAGUCUGCAACCCGACUCCAUGAAGCUGGAUUCGCUAGUAAUCGCGCAUCAGCCACGGCGCGGUGAAUACGUUCCCGGGCCUUGUACACACCGCCCGUCACACCAUGGGAGUUUGUAACGCCCAAAGUCGGUGGCCUAACCUUUAUGGAGGGAGCCGCCUAAGGCGGGACAGAUGACUGGGGUGAAGUCGUAACAAGGUAGC